GACGAACGCUGGCGGCGUGCUUAACACAUGCAAGUCGAACGAGACGAUUGAAAGCUUGCUUUUGAAAGUCGAGUGGCAAACGGGUGAGUAACGCGUAGACAACCUGCCUUUGAGAUGGGGACAACAGUUCGAAAGGACUGCUAAUACCGAAUGUUGUAUAUUUUCUACAUGGAAGAUAUAUUAAAGAUGGCCUCUAUUUAUAAGCUAUCGCUCAAAGAUGGGUCUGCGUCUGAUUAGCUAGUUGGUGGGGUAACGGCCUACCAAGGCGACGAUCAGUAGCCGGUCUAAGAGGAUGAACGGCCACAUUAGGACUGAGACACGGCCCAGACUCCUACGGGAGGUAGCAGUGGGGAAUCUUCCACAAUGGACGAAAGUCUGAUGGAGCAACGCCGCGUGAGUGAAGAAGGGUUUCGGCUCGUAAAGCUCUGUUGUCGGGGACGAAUGUGCAGUAUUUGAAUAAAGUAGUGUAAUGACGGUACCUGACGAGGAAGCCACGGCUAACUACGUGCCAGCAGCCGCGGUAAUAC
rnacentral:rRNA from 1 species